UUAAUAUAUAAAUUUUGCAAAUUUUUAAAAAAUUUAAAAACUAAUUGAUACUUUGUUAUAUAAAUUUAAGUCAAUGUAUAAAAUAUUUUUAUGAUUAUCUAUCAAUUUGAAUUAUAGAAACGAAGUAUCAAAUAGUUUUUAAAUUCUUAAAAAAUUUGCAAACUUAAUUUAUGCU
rnacentral:miRNA from 1 species